rnacentral:misc_RNA from 1 species
ACAUUCCUCACGAGCAUCCGAACGUCGUUCGGACCCCGUGCCCCUAGCAUUUUCCGCAUCCCAGAGCCCGAACAGAAAUCUCGUUUCGAGUUUCACCCGCGACCGCACCGAAUUCACGGGCAGCCUAAGGCGAACGAGGGAAGAUUGUCGACCGAAUUCCGUAGGUACGCAGCACAGGAUGAAGAGGAACGCACGGUUGGACGUCGCGGCACAAGGCAGGGAUCCAACCAACCCCAUACAAGA